AGCUGGUCUGAGUGCAGUAGUGAUUACAACACAUUGGUCACAAUCAGUUAAUAGAUUUCUUUGUUCCUUCAUCAUUCCCACUGCUUCACUUGACUAGCCUUAG
rnacentral:Y_RNA from 1 species